rnacentral:miRNA from 1 species
UUGCAAUGAUGGUAUUCUGAGG